rnacentral:rRNA from 1 species
GAUGAACGCUGGCAGCGUGCCUAAUACAUGCAAGUCGAGCGAACAGACGAGGAGCUUGCUCCUCUGACGUUAGCGGCGGACGGGUGAGUAACACGUGGAUAACCUACCUAUAAGACUGGGAUAACUUCGGGAAACCGGAGCUAAUACCGGAUAACAUGUUGAACCGCAUGGUUCAACAGUGAAAGACGGUCUUGCUGUCACUUAUAGAUGGAUCCGCGCCGCAUUAGCUAGUUGGUAAGGUAACGGCUUACCAAGGCAACGAUGCGUAGCCGACCUGAGAGGGUGAUCGGCCACACUGGAACUGAGACACGGUCCAGACUCCUACGGGAGGCAGCAGUAGGGAAUCUUCCGCAAUGGGCGAAAGCCUGACGGAGCAACGCCGCGUGAGUGAUGAAGGUCUUCGGAUCGUAAAACUCUGUUAUUAGGGAAGAACAAAUGUGUAAGUAACUAUGCACGUCUUGACGGUACCUAAUCAGAAAGCCACGGCUAACUACGUG